UACGGUUAUAUCAUGUUGAAUACUGGUUCUCGUACGAUCACCGAAGUUAAGUAACGUCGAACCUGGUCAGUACCUAGAUGGGUGACUGCUUGGAAAUACCAAGGACUGUAA